UUGCCACAGGGCCCCAUCUUCCCACUGUUGGCUUUUGAUAUAAUAAUUUAUGAGAAAUAUAUAUUUGGUCAUUCGGAAACAUCUGCUCUUCAUCCGCAAAUGUUCGUCUAGUGGAGUGUUCGUCUAGUGGAGGAGUGAAAUGGGCAUCUUGUUAUUGACGAAGGUGACCUCUGGAUCCCGCCCAGGGGCGGGGCUGGUUGCCAGGAGGACCAACCAGUGAGUGGAGGGGUUGGACCUUUCUUGCCCACCCUGUCCCGCCCCCCGGGGAGGGGAGAGGCGCUGCAGGCUGAAUCAGGCAAUGGCCACGACUUCAUUAACCAUGACUAUGUAAUGAAGCCUCCAUAAAAACUGUAGAGGAGAGAUUUUAUUUCCGGAGCACUUCUGAUCUUCAAGCCGGAAGACUCCCACGGGCCACCAAGCUGGCCCCAAGCUCCACAAGGACAGAAGAUCUUUCGUUGGGGACCUCUCUUCAUCUGACUCUUGAUUCGUAUCCUUUAUCCCAUCCUUGAACAAACCAGUAGAUGGGUUUCCCGGAGUUCUGAAAGCUGCUCUGGCAAAUUAAUGGAACCUAAGGGAGGAAGCCAGUUGGUCAGAAGCGCAGGAUUUUAAACUCCGGUGCUUCUCACCAGGUCCCAGGACUUCACCCACCAGCCGUAAGCAAUGGAAAAGAGGAAGCCUGAUGCGGAGAACGGAUUAUCGAGAGAUAAUGGGAUCCUGAAGGAAGGAGUGACCCAGAAGUCAAAAGAAGGAAGAAUUUCAAGGUUAGACUUCUACAUCAGUGUGAGCGGGGACUUCAUUCAUUCAUCAUGACGUGAGCGACUUCUCUGCUGAGGCAGGCCUCCCUGGGUUGGGACUGAAUGCUGUUCUUUCUGGAAUGACCGAGGACGUCCUCUCAGAAGCAGAGACGCUUCCUGUCUCCUUGGCCACAUUUCUGCUCUGAGAGCAGGGUGCUCCUGUCUGUGCCUUCUCACCACCACCACGUCAGCUUUCAGGCCUGCGGACCCUUCUUCUGUCCCAUCCUCUGGCCCCAGCAUCUCAGAGCCCACCUUCCCCACUGGAUCCCAGGCCCUGCUUCCCACUAAUGCCUUUGAGCCUGAUGGCUGUGGGUCCUCCCUGCUUACUGCUUCCCGCGAGGUUCUGCCUUGGCAGCCCUGGUCCUGGUUUCUCCCCAUCCCCCUCCUCUCUAAAGUCCUGGCAGACGAAACUAGAACAAAGGGACCAAAGGGAAGGGGUAAGAACUCUGGAAGAGGCACCUGCUGUCAUCUGCCUUCUCCUCUGGGCUCUGGCCUCUUUGAAGAGCUGUCCCCAUACACUGCACUGUUAACAUUCACCCGCUGAUCCGUAGCACACGGCCUUCCCUUCCCCACCAUCUGUGCGCCAACAUAACUGCCUGGCUGUGCACACUGCAGACUGUAAAUAAACCAGUAGUCUCAACUUCGGAGGGAAAACCAAAGCACAGAAAUUACGUUAAUUCCGUUCCUAACCCAUUUACAUGCAUACAUUAAUAUGAAUCAUGUUCUGCUCCAGCUGUUUCAUUAUUACAAAUCAUCUUUGGUGAUAAAACCAUUAAGUAUAAAUAACCAAACAUCUCCCCUUCCAGCCACACCCUUCUACAACUGCCAACACAAUCUUGCUCAACUACAGUAAAAAUUCUCGUAGAGCGAUUGGGAAUUUAAAGCACACACACACACCCCCCACCCCAUGAUGCAAUUGCCCUAAAAUGGAUGUUAACCAUGAUGUUCCAAAGAAAACGUCAGGAAUGACGGGCUAUGGUGUGCGGACCGAGCUGGGGAUUAUUUUAGAAGAGCCUGAAUCCCAAGCAUUCAAGUUCCUACGCUCAUUAAGAUCAACACACAUCACAUGCUAUUGAGUGUUGGAUUUUACAUAAUUGUUGAGCAGAUGGGCUGUAGCCAUGAUUUCAUGCAAAUGUAAAUUAUCUUCGAGAUGAAAUGUGCUUGAGAAAGAUACACCAAGCUCAAAUUUCCAAACAGAGGGGAAACAACAGCUCACCAAAGUCCCAUUAUUUACUCAGCUGCUUUUGAAUGCAAGUCUCCUAGCCAAUGUUUUGAAAAACCUAUCCCACGGUCUCAGGAACAGGGAGAGGUAAAGUAUGCGGCCUGGGCUCCUCUCCCUUUCCCAGGCCUCGACAGCCAGCCAGCUGCAGAGACAGGAACUGUGCUUUUCCUUGGGCCUAAUCCAGGGACGUGAAUAUUGUAAUUCUUUCUUUUUCUUUACCAUAUUUUAUAUUGAGAUAUAAUUACAUACAAUGAAAUGCAUGGCUCUCAGGCGUUCAGAUGGAUGAAUUUUGACAGUUGUUUAUGCACGUGUAACGAACACCCAACACAAGAUACAGAACGUUUCCAUCACACCAGAGAAUUUCCAUCCCUAUCCUCAACCGGGCAACCGUUGACUAGUCUUUUGUCACUGUAGCAUUAGUUCUGUCUGUUCUAGAAGGUCAUAUAAGUAAACUCCUACAGUAAUAACCUUCUUUGCAUGUAGCUUCUUUCCCUCAACACAACAUCUUUGAAUAAUUCAUUCAGGUCAUUGCAUGUAGUCACCCUUCUUUUUUUUAUUGCCAACUUAGUGGGGAAAGGAAAAUAUUUUUAAUAAUGUUGCUAGGGCGGCCGGAUGCAUGUGUGGAAAACAAACUGAAUCUCGAUCCCUAUCUCACUCUGUAUACAAAUGCUAAUUCAAAAUCAAGCAUAGGCACAAAACUGCUAGAAUGAAGCAUAACAACUUAAUGACCUUGGGAUGGGCAAAGAGUCCUUGAACAGAAUACA